UGCACAUGCGCGCCACCUCCGCACUGCCCUGGCUUCCUGCGCCUCUUCAGGUCAUCGCUUGCUCUCGUUCCCAGGCUUUGGCCUCUAGUGGACGAGAAUCACCGAGUCUGCGGGGCUGGACGCUGACUGCCCGGGCCAGCACCUAGGCGGGCGGGAGCUGUGCGGCCCAGGGUUCACGCGGGCCGGGUAGAGGCUCGAGCCGGGACCCCCGAGCGUGAACCCCGGAGCCGGCGGCGCUGGGGCCAGAGGGGCCGGGCGGGAGGUGGUGGCGGAGGCGAAGGGGCGACGGGACCUGGGCCUGGCCCGUGUGUGUCCUCGGCGGCCUGGCGCCGGCCGUCGCUGUACGGUGAGCCCCAGGGAGGCGGAUCUGGGCCCCGAGAAGGACCCCCGCCUGGAUUUGCCCCGUAGGCCCGGCCCGGGCCCCUCGGGAGCAGAACAGCUUUGGUGAGGUGGACAGGAGGUGACCUCGCGAGCAGACGCGCGCGCCAGCGACAGCAGCCCGCCCCGGCCUCUCGGGAGCCGUGGGGCAGAGGCUGCGGAGCCCCAGGAGGGUGAUUUCUGCCUUUGCAGGCCGGAGCCCUCAUGACUUCAGUGACCUGCUUCUGCCCCUCUAGGUCUAUCAGCCACAGUCUCUGCAAGUUUCCAAGAGCAGCAGAAAAUGAACACAUUGCAGGGGCCAGUGUCAUUCAAAGAUGUGGCUGUGGAUUUCACCCAGGAGGAGUGGCAGCAACUGGACCCUGAUGAGAAGAUAGCAUACGGGGAUGUGAUGUUGGAGAACUACAGCCAUCUAGUUUCUGUGGGGUAUGAUUAUCACCAAGCCAAACAUCAUCAUGGAGUGGAGGUGAAGGAAGUGGAGCAGGGAGAGGAGCCGUGGAUAAUGGAAGGUGAAUUUCCAUGUCAACAUAGUCCAGGACAAAGCAGUUCCAAUUCCAGAGAAAAUGAGUGAAUGGGCACCUCGACCUCCCCCAGAAUUUGUCCGAGAUGUCAUGGGUUCAAGUGCUGGGGCCGGCAGUGGAGAGUUCCACGUGUACAGACAUCUGCGCCGGAGAGAAUAUCAGCGACAGGACUACAUGGAUGCCAUGGCUGAGAAGCAAAAAUUGGAUGCAGAGUUUCAGAAAAGACUGGAAAAGAAUAAAAUUGCUGCAGAGGAGCAGACCGCAAAGCGCCGGAAGAAGCGCCAGAAGUUAAAAGAGAAGAAAUUACUGGCAAAGAAGAUGAAACUUGAACAGAAGAAACAAGAAGGACCCGGUCAGCCCAAGGAGCAGGGGUCCAGCAGCUCUGCGGAGGCAUCUGGAACAGAGGAGGAGGAGGAAGUGCCCAGUUUCACCAUGGGGCGAUGACAAUGUUUGCCACAGCCUCUGCCUGGAACCUGGCUCGUGCUGUGACCAGAAGGGAAAGGCGGCUGUUUGGCUCUUUCUCCCCCGCAAGGACCCGCUGACCCGCUGGAUGGAGAGCAAAGGAGACCCCUCCCGAGCCGCUCACAGUCCUGUAUUUGGCAGGUUUGGGAGCCUGAGGGGCCAUCUCCCUGACACUCAGAGGCACUGCCUUGCAGACACCAUCCGUGCUCCUGGUAAAGGGGGACAGAGAGCCUCACCUUGCCACAUAUUUGAACAGUGAUGAGUUUGGGGCUGGUUUCUGGGAAGGGAACGUUUAUUUAGUAAAGAGCAGAACACCCUUGCGUUUUGUUGGGACAUGUGGACCGUGAGUCGCAAACACUCUGGAGAAGGCUGAGAUGCCACCAUUCCCACGGGGACUGAAGACACAUUACGUGGACCUGGUCCCAGGCUCAGUGAGGAGAUGGCCUCAGCUGUGGGGCUGGUCCAUGUUGCCCACUCACUCCAGUGGGAAGUGGGGACCACGCCAUAGAGGGUCUGCUCCCACUGCAGCUCCCGGUGCUCUCGUGUUCUGGGAAGGCCUGGGUGUGUGCACAAGGAGGCCCGGGCCAGGGACUUCACCAGGGGCUGGGUCACAAGGGCACAGGGUGUGUGGAAAGCGCUGUGGGGGAAGAGCCGGUCACCGGAGAGUGAGCAGGCGGAGACUCCAAGCUGGGCUGAGCCAGAGCAGAAGGCGAGGGAUUCCCAGCCGGACGGGGGUUCUCUCACCAACAGCUGUGAUUUCAUCCCGAAGUGGAAGGGGGUCUAAACAGAACAGGCUGAGAGAGGCGGGACUGGGUCAAGUGGGUGGAGCUCCUCCUUGCAUGACUGCAACUGUCGGGGCUUUCCGCCGGCUCACAGCAGUUGGGGCCAGCGGGGAGAAGAGAGGCGGAACUGCUGUGUCCUCAUGUGGCGCAGCCUCAAACUGGCAUCCAGGCACUGGGCCCAUGCAGAGAAGGCACCUGCAGAGAGCAGGGCAGCCCGGCGCAGGGGCAUGCGCCUAGAAUCCCAGCUACUCGGAAGGCCAAGGCAGGAGGACCGCUUGAGUCCAGGGAUUCAAGGCCAACCUGGGCAAUAGAGCGAGACCCUGUCUCUUAAAAAACGAUGAUGAUGAACACAGAGGACGGGGCACUGUGCUGGGAGCCAGGGGGCCUGGGAGGAGCCGAGACCAGCCUUUUACCUCGGGGUUUUGAGGCCAACAGGGACGACAGAGACAGUUUCUAGUUAGAGCCUUGGCUCCAUUUUUGGAUGAUUUAGCCCCGAGUUCCUGAGUCUAUUUUAUGCCCCUUACGUACUUUGAUAGAACUAAGGAAAUAGUGGUUUUGAGUGAAGGGAAAGGAAACCCAGAAACAUUUUACGUUGCUUUUACUUCUGUAGUGUAGAUUGCCCCGGCCCCUCUCUGAGCCCUGUAGCAUCUGUGAUAGCUUCUGUCCCUUCAUCGGUUCAUGUCACAGGGAUUUUCUUUCCCAGGAAGCGGACACGGAGAGUCAGCCCUAAUAAAUGAGCACAUGCCCUGGCUGUACAUUUUGAAACCUGUU